AGAGUUUGAUCAUGGCUCAGAUUGAACGCUGGCGGCAGGCCUAACACAUGCAAGUCGAGCGGUAGCACAGAGAGCUUGCUCUCGGGUGACGAGCGGCGGACGGGUGAGUAAUGUCUGGGAAACUGCCUGAUGGAGGGGGAUAACUACUGGAAACGGUAGCUAAUACCGCAUAACGUCGCAAGACCAAAGUGGGGGACCUUCGAGCCUCAUGCCAUCAGAUGUGCCCAGAUGGGAUUAGCUAGUAGGUGUGGUAAUGGCUCACCUAGGCGACGAUCCCUAGCUGGCCUGAGAGGAUGACCAGCCACACUGGAACUGAGACACGGUCCAGACUCCUACGGGAGGCAGCAGUGGGGAAUAUUGCACAAUGGGCGCAAGCCUGAUGCAGCCAUGCCGCGUGUAUGAAGAAGGCCUUCGGGUUGUAAAGUACUUUCAGCGAGGAGGAAGGCAUUAAGGUUAAUAACCUUAGUGAUUGACGUUACUCGCAGAAGAAGCACCGGCUAACUCCGUGCCAGCAGCCGCGGUAAUACGGAGGGUGCAAGCGUUAAUCGGAACUACUGGGCGUAAAGCGCACGCAGGCGGUCCGUUAAGUCAGAUGUGAAAUCCCCGGGCUCAACCUGGGAACUGCAUUUGAAACUGGCAGGCUUGAGUCCUGUAGAGGGGGGUAGAAUUC
rnacentral:rRNA from 1 species